rnacentral:misc_RNA from 1 species
UCCGGUUUGUCACCGGCAGUCUCGCAUGAGUCCCCAACUAAAUGCUGGCAUGUCAAGGGUAGGUAAGGUUUUUCGCGUUGCAUCGAAUUAAUCCACAUAAUCCACCGCUUGUGCGGGUCCCCGUCAAUUCCUUUGAGUUUUAACCUUGCGGCCGUACUCCCCAGGCGGUCAACUUCACGCGUUAGCUUCGUUACCAAGGAAUUGCUUCCCCGACAACCAGUUGACAUAGUUUAGGGCGUGGACUAC